AUGGACGAGAAUGAGACAAUCGCUUUCUUGGUAGCAUCUGCACUGCUAGGAGCUGCUACCUUGCUAGUGCCAAGGCAAUCUGUGGCUGCAAUCCCAGAGGAGUUCCUCCCAUUAGUCGAGGAUCCGUGGCAGAUCGGUCAGUACAACAUGGCCAGAUACUCGAUUGACGUGCUAAGAAUGUGCGCCAAUAGGUUCCAUGCACAGGUGGCCUCUGGAGCUGAGGUCGCCAUCUUGGGUGGUCAUGUGCUUUUCCUUGGGAUAUUUCAGCUGGAUUGGAUAGACUUCGGUGCUGCAAACCUUAGGUCAAAUCUACUGCCAAGGAUUUCUGCAUAUACAUUUCCCAUGGUAAAGAAAUUGGUCCAGCUGCUGAGAGAUAACCCAGGGUUUUACCGAACUAGGCCUGAAGGUUACAUGGAGUCACAUCACUGGGAAUGGCAUCCUCUGAUGGCAGAUAAUUCACACAAUCUAUUCUGGAGGCCACCGGCUGUUAAUCGCCGGACUGAUGCAGCGAACCCACGCCAUGGUAUGAGCAUGGAAACUAGGGAGAUCGAGGAGCAGCUAGUCGAGGUGAUGCAUCAGCAACAGGAUGGGGUGGGCGAUCUGCAGCCUGAACACACAGCCCAGCUAUAG
rnacentral:rRNA from 1 species